rnacentral:sRNA from 1 species
GUUCAUCGCCUGGGCUCCAAGACAGCGAGCCAUGUUCCUUCUUCUGGUGCUUCUCACUGGACUUGGUGGGAUGCAUGCAGACCUCAAUCCUCAUAAAAUCUUCCUGCAGACCACAAUUCCAGAGAAGAUUUCAUCAUCGGAUGCAAACACAGAUCCAGAACAUAAUAUCAAUUUUAUCUUCAGCUUCUGUUAUUAAUUCUUAUGACAAAAAUGACAUCUGUCAUUCCAAACCUCUGCUAGUUCAGAUGGAUUGCAAUUAUAAUGGAUAUGUUGCGGGUAUUCCAAAUUCUCUUGUGACUCUCAGCAUAUGUUCAGGACUCAGGGGAACAAUGCAGCUGAAAAACAUCUCAUAUGCAAUUGAACCAAUGGAGGCUGUAUCAGGAUUUAUACACAAGAUUUAUGAAGAAAAAUAUGCUGACACUAAUAUUCUCUUAGAAGACAAUGACACUUAUACUUGGUUUAAUUCAGAGUAUCAAGUCAGAAAAAGUUCAGAAAAAACUGACUUUAUUAAGUUAUUCCCUCGAUAUAUUGAAAUGCAUAUUGUUGUGGACAAAAAUUUGUUCAAACCGGUUAAUACGAUUUGUAGGAAAUCAGCUGAUAAAGAAUGUGAUUUCACUGAAUAUUGCAAUGGGGACCUUCCAUACUGUUUGCCUGACACUUAUGUACGUGAUGGAGAAUAUUGUGAUUCAGGUGGAGCCUUCUGUUUUCAAGGAAAGUGUCGGACUUUUGACAAACAAUGUGAUGAUUUAAUCGGAAGAGGUUCAAGAGGUGCUCCGAUUUUCUGUUAUGAUGAAAUUAAUACCAGAGGAGACAAUUUUGGAAACUGUGGCACUGCAUAUUGUCUUUUUCAACAUAUUCUAUGUGGAAAAUUAGUCUGUACAUGGGAACACAGAGACUUAAUAUCACGUCCAAAUUUAUCUGUGAUUUAUGCACAUGUACGAGACCAAACAUGUGUGUCUACAUACCUACCCAGGAAGACGCCACCUCCAGUAAAUAUACCUAUUGCAAUCACAUCAUAUUAUGCAGGUGAAGACAGAGAUGAAACAUUUGUACAAGAUGGUUCCAUGUGUGGUCCUGAUAUGUAUUGUUUCAAAAUGCGUUGUAAAGAUGUUAGAUUCCUGAUGAAUUUAAGAUUGUGUGAUGCUUCUAAUCAUUGUGGUGGUCAUGGAGUUUGCAACAAUUUUAACCAUUGCCAUUGUGAAAAGGGAUAUAAUCCUCCUUACUGCCAACCAAAGCAAGGAGCAUUUGGAAGUACUGAUGAUGGACACUUAGUACCACCAACUGAGAAAAGUUACAUGGAGGAGGGAAGACAGGCCACUUUCCAAAAACAACGGUUUCAAUUCAUUUUCUACAUUUCUCUACCUGUGCUUCUUAUUACUACUGCCAUUUUAAUAAAACGGAAAAAAUUGAGAGAGCUAUGCUAUAGAGGGGAAACUGAAAGUGAGAGCUCUGUGUCAGAAGAAAGCAGCAGUAACAGCAAGUCAUCCCUCAGUGAAAGCACCGGUCUCUAACAACCUUGAAUGCUAAUGCUUGGAGAGAGGAGAGUAACAAAUACAUUAUCAGAAACUGGCCCAAACCAAGGAGGAACAAAACACAAUUUCUCUCUCAUUGCUCUUGUCACUGCUGAGGGUUUUAAACCAUGAAAUAAAUCAUCGCCUGAA